UACAGAGGGUGCGAGCGUUAAUCGGAGUUACUGGGCGUAAAGCGUGCGUAGACGGUUAUUUAAGUCGGGUGUGAAAGCCCCGGGCUCAACCUGGGAAUUGCAUUCGAGACUGAAUAGCUAGGGUACGGUAGAGGGAAGUGGAAUUUCCGGUGUAGCGGUGAAAUGCGUAGAUAUCGGAAGGAACAUCAGUGGCGAAAGCGACUUCCUGGACCAGUACCGACGUUCAGGCACGAAAGCGUGGGGAGCAAACAGG
rnacentral:rRNA from 1 species